GAUGAACGCUGACAGAAUGCUUAACACAUGCAAGUCAACUUGAAUUUGGGUUUUUAACUUAGAUUUGGGUGGCGGACGGGUGAGUAACGCGUAAAGAACUUGCCUCACAGCUAGGGACAACAUUUAGAAAUGAAUGCUAAUACCUGAUAUUAUGAUUUUAAGGCAUCUUAGAAUUAUGAAAGCUAUAAGCACUGUGAGAGAGCUUUGCGUCCCAUUAGCUAGUUGGAGAGGUAAUAGCUCACCAAGGCGAUGAUGGGUAGCCGGCCUGAGAGGGUGAACGGCCACAAGGGGACUGAGACACGGCCCUUACUCCUACGGGAGGCAGCAGUGGGGAAUAUUGGACAAUGGACCGAGAGUCUGAUCCAGCAAUUCUGUGUGCACGAUGAAGUUUUUCGGAAUGUAAAGUGCUUUCAGUUGGGAAGAAAAAAAUGACGGUACCAACAGAAGAAGUGACGGCUAAAUACGUGCCAGCAGCCGCGGUAAUACGUAUGUCACGAGCGUUAUCCGGAUUUAUUGGGCGUAAAGCGCGUCUAGGUGGUUAUGUAAGUCUGAUGUGAAAAUGCAGGGCUCAACUCUGUAUUGCGUUGGAAACUGUAUAACUAGAGUACUGGAGAGGUAAGCGGAACUACAAGUGUAGAGGUGAAAUUCGUAGAUAUUUGUAGGAAUGCCGAUGGGGAAGCCAGCUUACUGGACAGAUACUGACGCUAAAGCGCGAAAGCGUGGGUAGCAAACAGG
rnacentral:rRNA from 1 species